GUUUUUCCCUUGUGCCUUAUACUCCAUGGUAAGGCUGUGGAUCAGAGGGGAUAGAAACGACAGUGGGUGACACUCAGUGUCAGUAACUGGGGCUUUUAUUUCAAGUCCAAAUCAGCAACAAAAAGAAGAUUGCAGGCCCCAUACAAAAUGUACCUUGUGGCCCAUGAGACCUAGAAAAACGGAGCUGAAAACUUGGUCCCAGUUCUGCUCAGCUA
rnacentral:lncRNA from 1 species